GACAAAACAAAAAUAUGUUUACGACAAACAACCCAAAAAGACCCUGAAAACAUGUAUAAAAGGGGUGUGCUUGUAUGAAAUGCUUCACAUCACAAGUUCUAGUGUCGUAGUGACUAUUUGGUAAGUACUCUCAUUUAUUAUUGUGAAUUGUACCAUGUAUUUAUUAGUGUUACCCGUAUAUUCAAUUUGUCCAUAAAAAUAACCAUGCUAAUAGUGUGUAGACUUAUGAAGUAGUAGGCUAAAACAAGCGUUAUUACAGAUACAGUCCUAUAUCAUAGAACACGCCACAAGUACCCGCAUCUCUCUCCUAGUUCUCGUGAAAAAGACAGAAGGAUCUGGAACAAAACACCCCUGCAACUUCUUACCCUGUGGUUCAAAAGCUGUGAGUGCUACAGAACGUCAAACAUUCCUCCACUUGUGUGAAAGGCUGCAAAUCACAAGUUCUAGUGACUAUUUGAUACAGUCCUACGUACGACAAAAGUGCAUCGCUCCUAGUUCUCGUGACAACGUCAGAAGGACCAGGCAAAAACAACCCAGGCAGCCAUCUCCAUUCCUAGUUUCUCUCUUGGACCAGCGGCUGUGUACUGCAGAACACAACCAAGCAAAACCCACAGUAUCUUCAAAGGAAACAAAGGACAGAUAAA